UACGGAGGGUGCAAGCGUUACCCGGAAUCACUGGGCGUAAAGGGCGUGUAGGCGGAUCACCAAGUCUGGUUUUAAAGCCUGGGGCUCAACCCCAGAUCUGGACUGGAGACUGGUGAUCUGGAUUCGUGGAGAGGCAACUGGAAUUCCUGGUGUAGCGGUGGAAUGCGUAGAUACCAGGAGGAACACCCAUGGCGAAGGCAGGUUGCUUGACACUGACGCUGAGAUACGAAAGCUAGGGGAGCAAACAGG
rnacentral:rRNA from 1 species